CAAUUCCAAAAAAGAUGGUUAAUUGCUUUUGGAUGUUCUUUGCAAAAGGGACAGUUAGGAUCAAUUUUUUAAUGUAUUUUAGCAUGAAUUGAUUAGUGGGGAAAAUUUUGUGAAUGAUUUUAAAAGAAACUUCUUUCAUUUUUUAUUUUAUUUAUCAUAGAUUUUUGGGUCACACUCCAGCCCUUUCUCCAAAUGCUGCCGGGAACAAAACGUCUUCAGUAGUUUCGAAGCCGCAAAAUAACACGAGGAGAACGAACGGCCGUGGCGUUUUACCCGAGCUCCAGUAAAGUGAAAUUUGCUGUCGAGUUACAGCGCUCCGCGCCGCCAUGACGCAAUCUGUUUGAAAACAAUGACGGCACGGAGCGUUAGGUCCGAAGAUGAAGACGGAAAAAAAGAAUAAAAGUUGACCGUAGGAGACAUGGACACCCUCUAGAAAGCGAGGCCGACCACGUCCUCACAGCGAAAAGACCUCAGAGGAUCCGGGGGUUGGCGGCAGUGACCCGGCCGAGCGGAUAAGUUCAGGAAAAGAGUCUUCAUCUGAAGCGAUUGAAACAUAAUCACAGAGGCUGGACGA